rnacentral:lncRNA from 1 species
UCCCAACCCACCAGCACGUGGCGGCUUCCAAUAAGAAGGAACUCUUUUAAGAAAAAUAAAUCAUUUCCAAUUAGUCCCAAACAACAGAUUUCAGUUUUUGCCUUUUACCCUAUCUGUCUGUGCAUGAUGUAUUUUUGCACGGGUGUGAUCAUCGUGAACAUUCCAUUUAUAUUCUACAAAGCUCAAUAUAUUACAAACAUUUCCUCAAGUUAUUUUAUGGUCUCCAUCCAGUUUUCCCCUUACUGCAGUGCAGGGUCAGUGGACUUCACAUAGUUUUUGUUUGCUUGUUUGUUUUAAUAAUCUUAAGAGUGCUUUUAAAAAAAAUAAAAUAAAAUUCUUAGCUUGUUGGCCGUGUAAAAACAGGCCUUGGGUUGAAUUCGGCCCCGUGGGUUUGCCAGCCUACAGGUCAUUUUGCCAUCUCUGUCCCUGGGCUGCAGGGAAGGUCUCUAUGUAUACAGCUUUUUCCUUCUUUUGAAACACUUCCUUUGGAUAACUUCCCAGGAAUGAGAUUACCGGAUAAAUGGGCAGCAAUGUUUUUAUGGCUCCUAAUAUAUAUCUUGCUGUAUUUUAAGAUUGUGCCAACCAGCAAUUUGGGAAUAUAUAAGUUUCUUAUAACCUCACCAGCACUUGGUAUGAUCAGUUUAAAUUUAUGCUAAUUUAGUAGCCAUAAAACGAUACCUUGUUUUUAUUUCUGUAUCUGAUUGUUCUCAAAGUAGAGAAUGCUUUUCAUGUGUUUGGUUGUUCUUUGUGAAGUCGGCUCUAGAGGACCCAAAUGUUAGAAUCAGCUGAAAAGCAGCUAUCCUGAGCCCCUUUCUUCAGUUCAAAGAUGAGAUGCUCCUUUGGUUCAAAUGCAAGUUUGCAUGUAACUUUUCAGCGAGUCCUGCUGCAUUAAAAUGACAGAGAGAAGCCCAGUGAGGCCUUAUCGCUCUGUGGCAGCAAAAAGGACUGGAAAGUAGGUCGAGGAAUUAAUCCUGCUGGUUCCAGUAAUUAGAGCAGACAAUGGGGUCGAAAGUUCAGGCUGAGCUGGGGAAUGCAGCGGAGUGUCUCUUACCAGGCCUGGGCACAUUGCCCCCCCACCCCCCCACCUCGGCCUUCGGCACUGCCCCUGGACUAGGCCUCCCUAUCAUCAUGACCAUCCCCAAGUGCAUUUUCUCCCCACCCCUUCUAAUUUACAGAGCCAUUUUUGGCCUUUCAUCCCACGAGAAGUCAGAUGGUCCCAGAGGCAGAAGCGAUCCCAGUGACAGCCCUCCUGCCUUCCAAAGGAAACCCCCCAAGGUUACUUUCCUCCUCGAGCUUCAGCAACUGGUAGAAAGUGUUGGCUCUUCAUCUCCAGUGGAGUCCAGAAACAAUGAGAGAUGCUCCUUUUCCUUUCCAUGCAGAGGGUUCGGACCGGGUUGAAGCUGGUGUCUGGGCAAGGAUGAUGCCCCAAAUGGCUAAAGAGUGGGGAUAAACCAGAAAGAGUUGCAAGCUGAGUCCUUCAAGAGGUGCAUAAUCAGCGAUGGUGAAUUUGUGGUGAGUCCAUGGAGGUGUGAGUGGCAUAUGAACAGGAGUCCAAGCUGAAAGGUUGGAAGCAGGGACAGUGGGAACAGAGUGAAGACAAAGA